rnacentral:other from 1 species
GUGUUUCUGUGGUGUUCGUAAGCUCACUUAUUAAACCCUUGAGCCUUACUCAUCGACCCCGGGAAUGAGUCUGCUGGUGCUGUGUGCAUUACCGUUUUAUACGGGAAGCCUUAUACAUCGGCGCAAAUUCCCACCUGGACUUCUGGUUCAAGGUUCGUGAGAAGAGCUACGGCAUUUACGGAAGCACC